CGGCCUUGACAUACUAAGAACUUUCCAGAGAUGGAUUGGUGCCUUCGGGAACUUAGAUACAGGUGCUGCAUGGCUGUCGUCAGCUCGUGUCGUGAGAUAUUGGGUUAAGUCCCGNAACGAGCGCAACCCUUUUCCUUAUUUGCCAGCGGGUCAUGCCGGGAACUUUAAGGAUACUGCCAGUGACAAACUGGAGGAAGGCGGGGACGACGUCAAGUCAUCAUGGCCCUUACGGCCAGGGCUACACACGUGCUACAAUGGUCGGUACAAAGGGUUGCUACCUCGCGAGAGGAUGCUAAUCUCAAAAAGCCGAUCGUAGUCCGGAUCGCAGUCUGCAACUCGACUGCGUGAAGUCGGAAUCGCUAGUAAUCGCGGAUCAGAAUGCCGCGGUGAAUACGUUCCCGGGCCUUGUACACACCGCCCGUCACACCAUGGGAGUUUGUUGCACCAGAAGUAGGUAGUCUAACCGCAAGGAGGACGCUUACCACGGUGUGGCCGAUGACUGGGGUGAAGUCGUAACAAGGUAAGCGUAGAUGA
rnacentral:rRNA from 1 species